rnacentral:rRNA from 1 species
GAUGAACGCUGGCGGCGUGCCUAAUACAUGCAAGUCGAGCGAACGGACGAGAAGCUUGCUUCUCUGAUGUUAGCGGCGGACGGGUGAGUAACACGUGGAUAACCUACCUAUAAGACUGGGAUAACUUCGGGAAACCGGAGCUAAUACCGGAUAAUAUUUUGAACCGCAUGGUUCAAAAGUGAAAGACGGUCUUGCUGUCACUUAUAGAUUGAUCCGCGCUGCAUUAGCUAGUUGGUAAGGUAACGGCUUACCAAGGCAACGAUGCAUAGCCGACCUGAGAGGGUGAUCGGCCACACUGGAACUGAGACACGGUCAAGACUCCUGCGGGAGGCAGCAGUAGGGAAUCUUCCGCAAUGGGCGAAAGACUGACGGAGCAACGCCGCGUGAGUGAUGAAGGUCUUCGGAUCGUAAAACUCUGUUAUUAGGGAAGAACAUAUGUGUAAGUAACUGUGAACAUCUUGACGGUACCUAAUCAGAAAGCCACGGCUAACUACGUG